GAUGAACGCUGGCGGCGUGCCUAACACAUGCGAGUCGAGCGAACCCUUCGGGGUGAGCGGCGGACGGGUGAGUAACGCGUGGGUAACCUGCCCUAUACACACGGAUAACGUACCGAAAGGUACGCUAAUACGGGAUAAAGUUGUUGGAUGGCAUCUUCUAACAAUCAAAGCUCCGGCGGUAUAGGAUGGACCCGCGUCUGAUUAGCUAGUUGGUGAGGUAAUGGCUCACCAAGGCGACGAUCAGUAGCCGACCUGAGAGGGUGAUCGGCCACACUGGAACUGAGACACGGUCCAGACUCCUACGGGAGGCAGCAGUGGGGAAUAUUGCACAAUGGGCGAAAGCCUGAUGCAGCAACGCCGCGUGAGCGAUGAUGGUCUUCGGAUCGUAAAGCUCUGUCCUCAAGGAAGAUAAUGACGGUACUUGAGGAGGAAGCCCCGGCUAACUACGUGCCAGCAGCCGCAGUAA
rnacentral:rRNA from 1 species